AUAUUACAAUUUUACACUACAAAGAAAGAAUCAUUCCUUUAAACGAUCCAGCUCCUUUUCCCACUUCAAUCCAAACAUCUGCCGGCCGAAAGGUACAAUGAGGUUGUAACGGAAAAUCUUAUCAUUUAUAUCACCCAUCUGCAUUUUUAAAGUCACAGUUUUCUCAAUCCAUUUGGAGUGAUCCCCACUGCAUUUAUUCGUCCAUGCUUUCUUCAAGGCAACCCGCCAUUCAGACACUUUACUCCUUAUCUCUUUGUUGAGUUCAACCCACUCUGGUGCACAUCCAUUUUUUGAGAGGAUUCUGUAUAAAGUGUCUUCAGCUGGAUCAGAAUGAGGAUUAGUGCUAAGGUUAAGGGGUUUGCCUUUCCCUGGUAAGUUCUCGAAUUGACCUUCUUCCAUUGAAUGCCAAAUUCUUUGCUCAACAACAUUUAUAAUAUCAGUUUCUGACCUGACAGCGUUGCGUUGGCCACGGAGUUCGGGAGGAAGCUUGCGGUCGUUGACGGCGUCUAUAACAGCGGACAGACGAUCCGUUAUCUUCUUGUCAGGCUUUGACGAGGAGGAGUAAGAAGAAGAAUUCCACCUGAGACUGGAAACGCCAUGGAUGAAGUAGAUAGCGGAAUUAUCAGCCGUUGAUUUUUUAAUGAGUGUGAUUAGCGAUGAUGAGGACGAAAGCGAUAUUCCAGGGAUGCGAGCGGCCAUAGCUGGCCCGAGAAUGCUGAGUGCUCUGCAGGGUUC
rnacentral:misc_RNA from 1 species